UGCNAUACUGCAGUCGACGCUUCUUUUUCCCNGGAGCUUGCUCCACCGGAAAAAGAGGAGUGGCGAACGGGUGAGUAACACGUGGGUAACCUGCCCAUCAGAAGGGGAUAACACUUGGAAACAGGUGCUAAUACCGUAUAACAAUCAAAACCGCANGNUUUUGAUUUGAAAGGCGCUUUCGGGUGUCGCUGAUGGAUGGACCCGCGGUGCAUUAGCUAGUUGGUGAGGUAACGGCUCACCAAGGCCACGAUGCAUAGCCGACCUGAGAGGGUGAUCGGCCACAUUGGGACUGAGACACGGCCCAAACUCCUACGGGAGGCAGCAGUAGGGAAUCUUCGGCAAUGGACGAAAGUCUGACCGAGCAACGCCGCGUGAGUGAAGAAGGUUUUCGGAUCGUAAAACUCUGUUGUUAGAGAAGAACAAGGAUGAGAGUAACUGUUCAUCCCUUGACGGUAUCUAACCAGAAAGCCACGGCUAACUACGUGCCAGCAGCCGCGGUAAUACGUAGGUGGCAAGCGUUGUCCGGAUUUAUUGGGCGUAAAGCGAGCGCAGGCGGUUUCUUAAGUCUGAUGUGAAAGCCCCCGGCUCAACCGGGGAGGGUCAUUGGAAACUGGGAGACUUGAGUGCAGAAGAGGAGAGUGGAAUUCCAUGUGUAGCGGUGAAAUGCGUAGAUAUAUGGAGGAACACCAGUGGCGAAGGCGGCUCUCUGGUCUGUAACUGACGCUGAGGCUCGAAAGCGUGGGGAGCAAACAGGAUUAGAUACCCUGGUAGUCCACGCCGUAANCGAUGAGUGCUAAGUGUUGGAGGGUUUCCGCCCUUCAGUGCUGCAGCUAACGCAUUAAGCACUCCGCCUGGGGAGUACGACCGCAAGGUUGAANCUCAANGGAAUUGACGNNGNCCCGCA
rnacentral:rRNA from 1 species